rnacentral:rRNA from 1 species
UACGAAGGGGGCUAGCGUUGUUCGGAAUUACUGGGCGUAAAGGGCGCGCAGGCGGUCCUUCAAGUCAGAUGUGAAAGCCCCGGGCUCAACCUGGGAACUGCAUUUGAGACUGGAGGACUUGAGGGCGGGAGAGGAGAGUGGAAUUCCCAGUGUAGAGGUGAAAUUCGUAGAUAUUGGGAAGAACACCGAUGGCGAAGGCAGCUCUCUGGGCCGUUACUGACGCUGAGGCGCGAAAGCGUGGGGAGCAAACAGG